rnacentral:rRNA from 1 species
UACGAAGGGGGCUAGCGUUGCUCGGAAUCACUGGGCGUAAAGCGCACGUAGGCGGAUAUUUAAGUCGGUGGUGAAAUCCUGGAGCUCAACUCCAGAACUGCCUCCGAUACUGAAUGUCUUCGAGUCCGGGAGAGGUGAGUGGAACUGCGAGUGUAGAGGUGAAAUUCGUAGAUAUUCGGAAGAACACCAGUGGCGAAGGCGGCUCACUGGACGACUGUUGACGCUGAGGUGCGAAAGCGUGGGGAGCAAACAGG